UACGUAGGGGGCAAGCGUUAUCCGGAUUUACUGGGUGUAAAGGGAGCGUAGACGGGAUGGCAAGUCUGAAGUGAAAUCCUGCGGCUUAACCGCAGAAUUGCUUUGGAAACUGUCAACCUGGAGUGUCGGAGAGGUAAGCGGAAUUCCUAGUGUAGUAGUGAAAUGCGUAGAGAUUAGGAAGAACACCGGAGGCGAAGGCGGCUUACUGGACGAUAACUGACGUUGAGGCUCGAAAGCGUGGGGAGCAAAC
rnacentral:rRNA from 1 species